AACACGUUCCUUAGAUCCACCUCUGGGGGGCGCUCUGCUGUGAGCAGGGCGCCCUCAGCAGCUUUCGGGCUGUACGGUCGGAGGUGCUUGAGUCAUUGGCGUGUGAGAGCAGUCUACCUGUUUCCCAGCUUAGCCGCACCGCUGGCAGCUCCGUUCUUUGUGAACGGGAGAUCGCCCAGUGUUGCGAGCCAGGGGAACGGACAUU
rnacentral:snoRNA from 1 species